CCUACGGGUGGCAGCAGUGAGGAAUAUUGGUCAAUGGACGAGAGUCUGAACCAGCCAAGUAGCGUGAAGGAUGACUGCCCUAUGGGUUGUAAACUUCUUUUAUAUGGGAAUAAAAUGUUCCACGUGUGGGCUUUUGUAUGUACCAUAUGAAUAAGGAUCGGCUAACUCCGUGCCAGCAGCCGCGGUAAUACGGAGGAUCCGAGCGUUAUCCAGAUUUAUUGGGUUUAAAGGGAGCGUAGGUGGAUUGUUAAGUCAGUUGUGAAAGUUUGCGGCUCAACCGUAAAAUUGCAGUUGAAACUGGCAGUCUUGAGUACAGUAGAGGUGGGCGGAAUGCGUGGUGUAGCGGUGAAAUGCUUAGAUAUCACGAAGAACUCCGAUUGCGAAGGCAGCUCACUGGACUGCAACUGACACUGAGGCUCGAAAGUGUGGGUAUCAAACAGGAUUAGAUACCCUUGUAGUC
rnacentral:rRNA from 1 species